GGUUAACGCUGGCGGCGUGCCUUACACAUGCAAGUCGAACGGGGCUAUCAGCGAUGGUAGCCUAGUGGCGAACGGGUGAGGAAGACGCAGGGACCUACCGACCAGAGGGGAUACCCGCUGGAAACGGCGGAUAAAACCGCAUACGCCCGGGUGAAAGCCCGGGGAAAAGCACUACGGUGUUACUGGACGAGGGACCUGCGGCCCAUCAGGUAGUUGGGGAGGUAACGGCUCACCAAGCCGACGACGGGUAUCUGGCGUGAGAGCGCGAACAGGCACAAGGACACUGAGAGACGGGUCCUACUCCUACGGGAGGCAGCAGUGGGGAAUAUUGGACAAUGGGGGAAACCCUGAUCCAGCCAUGCCGCGUGCGGGAAGAAGGCCUUCGGGUUGUAAACCGCUUUUGUCAGGGAAGAAAAGCUGCAAUCUAAUAAAUUGCGGUAAUGACGGUACCUGAAGAAUAAGCACCGGCUAACUACGUG
rnacentral:rRNA from 1 species